rnacentral:tRNA from 1 species
AAGGGAGACCUAAUUCGGGUAUAAGACGAAGAAAGAGUAGUCGAAACCAAGAAUCAAUCCCAAAAGGUCGGAACGAGGUAUGUGGCUUUCAAACUAGGUUCUGGGUUCACACAAGACCUGAAUCAGGAACAAGGGCUAUUAGCUCAGGUGGUUAGAGCGCACCCCUGAUAAGGGUGAGGUCCCUGGUUCGAGUCCAGGAUGGCCCACCUGCACAGGUGGCAAAAACAAAGAAGCGAGGAAUCAGCACCUUAUCUUAUCUAUAUAUAAGAGAGAAUGCUGGCUCUGAGUAAAGAGUCCAGAGGAACCUUGAAAACUGCAUAGAGCCAGGUGAAAAAGCCAAAAAAGAAGACCGCAA